ensembl:snoRNA SNORD26 Small nucleolar RNA SNORD26
CUACGAGGAUGAUUUGGACAUGGAAUUCUCUCUUGCUGAUGGGUCAGUGGAGAAAGCUAUGACGUCCUGAGUAGC